rnacentral:ncRNA from 1 species
AAAGUGGAUCGUAAAAUCACAGCCCGGUCGGUAGUCCGCGGCGCAUGUAGGGAGGCAGAGGGCGAUUCGCCAGCACAGCCUCCCGGAUCACAUGUCAGUAGCCUUCCCCCCUCGGGAUGUCCCUCGGUCCGAUUUAUACA